rnacentral:rRNA from 1 species
GAUGAACGCUGGCGGCGUGCCUAAUACAUGCAAGUCGAGCGAACGGACGAGAAGCUUGCUUCUCUGAUGUUAGCGGCGGACGGGUGAGUAACACGUGGAUAACCUACCUAUAAGACUGGGAUAACUUCGGGAAACCGGAGCUAAUACCGGAUGAUAUUUUGAACCGCAUGGUUCAAAAGUGAAAGACGGUCUUGCUGUCACUUAUAGAUGGAUCCGCGCUGCAUUAGCUAGUUGGUAAGGUAACGGCUUACCAAGGCAACGAUGCAUAGCCGACCGGAGAGGGUGAUCGGCCACACUGGAACUGAGACACGGUCCAGACUCCUACGGGAGGCAGCAGUAGGGAAUCUGCCGCAAUGGGCGAAAGCCUGACGGAGCAACGCCGCGUGAGUGAUGAAGGUCUUCGGAUCGUAAAACUCUGUUAUUAGGGAAGAACGUAUGUGUAAGUAACUGUGCACAUCUUGACGGUACCUAAUCAGAAAGCCACGGCUAACUACGUG